AGAACAUAUUUUUAUUCCUAAGAUAGUAUGAGAAAGUUCUGAUCUUGACAGUUCACGUAACAUUCAAUCAAUUAUACCAUUGCUCUAUCUCUAAAGUUUUCUUUUUCUCCUUUUCUCAGUGUCUUACCAAGAAUGAAAGGCAACCUAUGUAAAAACUAUGGGCUUUCUAGUAUAAAUAAAAACUACUCAUCUCCAGAAAAUAAACAAUGACUGCUAAGAUGAUUGAAAAAAGAAAGGAGAAGAAAGUAGCUUGUAAAAGCGUGUGAAAUGCAUUCACGUUGGAAUCUCCUACAGGCACUUCAGGUCAAAGACUACCGAUGUCCAGAUCAUAAUGCGAGGACAGUUUGAGCCCAGUGCUCUCUGACUGAGGUAGAACCCCCGGGAAGGUGAAGAGGGCAGCCGUCUGCGAAACAGCCCAGCAUUUAAGAAUGGGCAGCACCUGGCCAGGUGCAUUUGAGAACUAGGAAUGUGGCAACAAUAACAUUUAUUUAUUUGGAUGAAGAGAAGAAGAUGUAUUGGAUUCCCUGAAACAAUCAUUGACCUGCCUGAAUCCCAACUGUUGCACUGACUCCACUAAUUCACCAAUCCACUUGAGCUGGGAGGAGAGCCCAUGCACAGAAGUUUAUGGAUAAACAGACCUGAACGUCUAGCAUGAUGUCAAAUUUAUAUGGCCACAGAACUACAAAAGGAAAUAACUAUAACCUCACUGACCACAGUGCUGCUGACACUUGGACAACAUGGGUUUGAGCUUCAUGGGUCCACUUAGACAAUAAUUUUUUCACUAACUAUAUUGGAAAUGUUUUUGGAAAUUUAUAACAGUUUGAAAAAUAUUGUAGACCAACAUGUAGCCUAGAAAUAUUAAAACAUUAAGAAGCAAGUAUGGCAUGAAUACAUAGAAUAUAUGUAGAUACUAUUCUAUUUUAUCAUUUACUACUAUAAAUAUAUGCAAAUCUAUUAAAUGAGGUUAACAUUUAUCAAAGCAUGUGGUCACAAACUCUUAUAGUUUGUACAUGGCACCAUUUACAGACAAGGAAAUAGAAGCCAAUGUAAAAAUGCAGUAUUAAGUCAUAACCGCAUAAAAGUAACUGUGGCACAUACUGCACUACCAUGAUAAUUUCACAGGCACCUCCCACUGCUAUUGUGGUGAGCCCACGUGUUGUGAGCUUCCGCAUAAAGCCCUGCAAUUCUGAUCAUUGCCACGUGGGCAGUUUGUGUCUCUAGUUAGUUGUGUACUGUAGUAAAAAGUGAUCUCGCAGUUCUUGCAUAAUUUCCGUGUUUAGUGCGAUAUGGUAAACAUUGAAUAGCACCAUGAAACCCACACGAAGGGCCACUGGUGAUGUUGGAAGGCUCCCAAGAAGCAGAGAAAAUUCAUGACAUUACAAAAUCAGUCAAAUUUCUUCAUAUGCACUGUAGAUUGAGGUCUGCAGCUGGGGUUUCCCAUUGUUUUAAGAUAAAUGAAUCAGCCUAAAGAUCAUUGUAAAAAAAGAAAAAGAUAUUGGAGAGGCUAUAACUGCAGCUAUGCCAGCAACAGCAGUAGUUACAUUUCUGAAGAGACAAAAUUUGUCAGUGGGUUUUCAAGAGCUCAAGGGUAACACCCUAACCCCCACGUUGUUCAAGGGUCAACUGUAUUGCAGUCAAAAACAGAAAUUUAAAAAAAAAAUUCCUUCAAAAAAAUAAAAUUGUAUUACACACUUGCUAAUCCAA
ensembl:lncRNA LINC00702 long intergenic non-protein coding RNA 702